CGCUAGCGUAUAUUAAAGUUGUUGCAGUUAAAAAGCUCGUAGUUGAACCUUGGGCUUGGCUGGCCGGUCCGCCUCACCGCGUGCACUGGUCCGGCCGAGCCUUUCCUUCUGGGGAACCGCAUGGCCUUCGCUGGCCGUGUCGGGGAACCAGGACUUUUACUUUGAAAAAAUUAGAGUGUUCAAAGCAGGCCUUUGCUCGAAUACAUUAGCAUGGAAUAAUAGAAUAGGACGGCCCUCCUAUUUUGUUGGUUUCUAGGGGAGCCGUAAUGAUUAACAGGGACAGGCGGGGGCAUCGGUAUUCAAUUGUCAGAGGUGAAAUUCUUGGAUUUAUUGAAGACCAACUACUGCGAAAGCAUUUGCCAAGGAUGUUUUCAUUAA
rnacentral:rRNA from 1 species